rnacentral:rRNA from 1 species
GUGGGGAAUUUUGGACAAUGGGCGCAAGCCUGAUCCAGCAAUGCCGCGUGCAGGAAGAAGGCCUUCGGGUUGUAAACUGCUUUUGUCAGGGAAGAAAUCUUCUGGGCUAAUACCCCGGGAGGAUGACGGUACCUGAAGAAUAAGCACCGGCUAACUACGUGCCAGCAGCCGCGGUAAUACGUAGGGUGCGAGCGUUAAUCGGAAUUACUGGGCGUAAAGCGUGCGCAGGCGGCUUUGCAAGACAGAUGUGAAAUCCCCGGGCUCAACCUGGGAACUGCAUUUGUGACUGCAAGGCUAGAGUACGGCAGAUGGGGAUGGAAUUCCGCGUGUAGCAGUGAAAUGCGUAGAUAUGCGGAGGAACACCAAUGGCGAAGGCAAUCCCCUGGGCCUGUACUGGCGCUCAUGCACGAAAGCGUGGGGAGCAAACAGGAUUAGAAACCCGAGUAGUCC